UACAGAGGGUGCGAGCGUUGUUCGGAAUUAUUGGGCGUAAAGCGCUUGUAGGCGGCACGUCAAGUCGCGUGUGAAAUCCCCAGGCUUAACCUGGGAAGUGCGCGCGAAACUGACGAGCUUGAGUGCCGGAGAGGGUCGCGGAAUUCCCGGUGUAGAGGUGAAAUUCGUAGAUAUCGGGAGGAACACCAGUGGCGAAGGCGGCGACCUGGACGGACACUGACGCUGAGAUGCGAAAGCGUGGGGAGCAAACAGG
rnacentral:rRNA from 1 species